AGGAUGAGUCUUUCUAACGGAAAUUUAUGACAGCUGAAAAUCAAAUGUUCAAUAUCACCAACAGUAUUUUCACAGGCGGUGCACUUGUUAUCCAGUAUUAUGCCCAAUCUAUAUAAAUGUGCAGGAGUGGUGUGGUGGCCAAAACGAAGCCGGUUCAUGGUCGUAAUAAAAUCUCGGCUAGCAACCUUCAAAUUGUUAUACCACGGUUGAGUUGGUAAAACUUCUUGUACGCUUCCGUACCAUUUUCCUUUUUCUUGUUGGUCUUCUUUCCAAAAAUCAAUCCAUAUUUCUAACAUAUCCUUUUUAAUUGAUGCAUAGAAAUCAGUGAAUGGAGUAUUUGCAACAAAUGAAACAUCUAAUAAAUUAGUCCCCUCAUAUGCAGCUUUAUCCGCAAUUUCGUUUCCUGUUAUUCCUCUAUGGGAGGGUAUCCACAUAAAGGAUAUUUCAACUCCCUUGACAGCUUUAAAUUCAUAUAAAAUUUGAAUUAUCUUAAAUAAUAAAUAGUUGGAUUUGAAGUGGAAGUUUAAAUUGUCUAGUGCCUGGAGAACACUUAAUGAAUCAGAAAAUUUGAGACAUGCUUGGUGAUUUACGACAGAGAAGGUCACUUCCAGUUAUUGAGGGUGCAAUUUGCUGACAUGGAUGAGAUCUGACACAAGCGAGACAAAGCUGUCUGCACAACUUCUUCCUCGCCUGAAGCCAUAUUGAAUAUUUGGUAUAAUACCCUUGGACUCAACAUACCAAUCAAGACGGAUUUUAAUCAUAUUCUCGAAAAUUUUUCCUAAACAAGAUGAUAACGAAAUUGGUCUAUAGGAAUUUGCAUUGUCUGGUGGUUUAUCUGUUUUAAGUACUGGCACAACACAUUGUGUUUUCCAUGACUGUGGUAUUUCUAGUUGAAGCCAAAGAGCAUUAAGUAUAUCAAGGAAUAAUAUUUGUACAGAUGGAUCUAAUUUUUUGAUUAAAAUAUAUGGAAAGUCAUCUAAUCCUGGAGAUGUGUUCCUACGACUUUGUAAACUAACUUUGAAUUCUUGAAAAGAAAAUGGUUGGAUUAAAAAAUUAGUAUUUACAUUGUCAUUAUGAAGACUAAAGAAAUUAUUUAAAUUAUCAACUUGUUCACCUCUAUCUGCAAGUUUAUCUAAAAAAGGGUUAACAAAUUCAUCACUAUAUGACCUAUUUCCAACUUUAAUGCCUUUAAAUCUUUUGAUAUAAUUCCAGAUUUGACUAAUAGGAGUAGUUCUGUUAAAACUAUCACAUAGAAUUCUCCAACCGCUUUUCUUUUCCUCAGAAAUAGUUCUCUUUUUAAUUGCAUCCAAUCUUUUAUACUUAAUAAAAUUUGCCAUACUAGGAUUAUUUCUAUAGAAAUUCAAGGCUUUAUAGGAGGCAAUUACAGCCUCCUCACAUCUUUUAUUCCACCAUGGAGCUGGCGGCUUACUUCUAUACGCGUUAGUUUUAAUAAAUCUAGGAACACACUCCAACUUAAGGGCAUUAAGCCGAUCACAAAAACAGUUAUAUGAUUCCAUUGGAUUAGAAACAUUCACAGUUACAUUGGAGAAGUAAUUUAGAGACAUUUGGCUAUAUAAACUCCAGUCUGUUUUAUCAUACAAAAACUUCUCAGUAGGAGGGUUUACCUGGUACCUGUCUAUGGCUAAUGUGAUAUUUGUAAUAGUUGGAAAGUGAUAACUACCCAUAUUAUCAUCAUGCACCAUCCACUCACACAGUGGUGUAAUAGUUGGGCUAGCAAAGCUGACAUCAAUUGCAGAUGGAUUUCUAUUAGGAUAAUUUAUAGUUGUGAAAUUACCAUCAUUUAAUAUGCAUAGGUCUAAGUCGUCCAUUAAGUCGUACAGUUGUUGUCCACGUCCUUUAAUAGAAAGGCAACCAAAAGCUGUAUGAUGUGCAUUAAAGUCACCAGCUAUGAAUAUAGGCUUUGGGAGAUCUCUAACUAUAUUACGAAGUUUACUUAUUCUAAUGUGACUAGUGGGAGGACAAUAAACACACAGGAUUGUAAGAUCGCCAUUCACUGUUGAUAGUGAUAUAGCAAUUGAUUGUACAUCUUCAUAGAAGGUAGUUUGUAGGUUUUUAUAUUUAAGAUAAGGUUUAAUAAGUAUUGCUACACCACCAUGUUCAUUCUGAGCAUUUUUAAAAUGGGUAUUGUAUCCAGAGACACGAAGAAUAUGAUUAUUAUUGAGCCAGGUUUCAUUCAGAAGGCAAAUGUCAAUAUUUUGUUCUUGCAAGAACUUAUUUAACAAUGGUUUUUUAUUGCGAACACUUUGGAUAUUAUACUGAGCAAUUCGUAACUGUGAAUGUAUAUUGGGAUCCAUUAUGAAAGAUUUUGUAAAAGCAUAUCUUUAAUUUUAGCAGUUGUGAUUGGCAGAUUGCUAACAUUGUUAGCCAACUCCACAAGUGUACGGACGAUAGCCGACGUAAGGGCCUCGUUAUUAAGUAACUGGGCCCUAACAUCGAUCGUCUCUUGCGGGGGUGGGGUAUUUUUUUCUUUUUGUACAUUUUCAUUUUUAUUUACAACAUGUACAGGAGGGAUAUUUACAUCUUUAUUUACAAUUUUGUGUACAGGUUUAUUUACAGAUUUAUUUACAAUUGCUUUAUUCGCGUAAGAAAUAGUUUUGGUUGUCUGAGGCAGGGGAGGGAAUUCAUUAUCAGCAUAGCUUAACUUUUUUGUAUUUGUAAUACUAGCAUAAGUAAUUUUAUUUCGUUUUUCUUCAAUUUUUUUCAUUUUAAUAGGACAUGCUUUUGAAAUAGCCAAAUGAGGGCCACCACAGUUCGCGCAACAUAAAUCGUUUGGUGUAUUACAUUCUUUGUAUAUAUGUUCACCGCCGCAGCAGCUGCAACGUUGCUUUCCAUUACAUAUUUUUGCUGAAUGAUUAAAUUUCAUGCAACGAUAGCAUUGCUGCAACGGAGGAACAUAAUCAAAAACCCUGUAAGAGAAUAAAUCGUAUUGCACUGUAUCUGGUAAUACAUUCGACAAAAAAGUUAAGCUUACUGUUUGAAGGGGAAUCUUUUGAUUGCCAACCUUUUUUGUGAAUCUACGUACUGCAAUAAUGUCAAAGUGGGAUGAAAGUUUGUCAUAUAGUUCUUUGUUAGAAAUAUUAGUUGGGACAAAACGGAUAAUUCCAAUCUUCUCAAUAUGAGCCGAAGGUAUAUACGCUGUCAGAUUUUGUUUUUGUAAGAAUCCUGUAUUUGUUAAGAAAUUGUUUGCCGUAAUAAAUUGUUUGAAAGUCA